rnacentral:ncRNA from 17 species
UAGUAAAGGGGACGUUAUGAACUUUAUCCAGUAAAUGGGCACUCGGGAUAGUGGAAGCGACUAGUGCAACCGUCCAAGAAGAAG